rnacentral:rRNA from 1 species
GAUGAACGCUGGCGGCGUGCCUAACACAUGCAAGUCGAGCGUGAACCCUGCGAAUGAAACUUCGGUCGAUUUUGCAGGGGGAAAGCGGCGGACGGGUGAGUAACGCGUAGGUAACCUGCCCCAUACUGAGGGAUAGCCUCGGGAAACCGGGAUUAAUACCUCAUAACACCGUAUAUUCGCAUGGAUGUGCGGUCAAAGAUUUAUCGGUAUGGGAUGGGCCUGCGUCUGAUUAGCUGGUUGGUGGGUAACGGCCUACCAAGGCGACGAUCAGUAGCCGACCUGAGAGGGUGAUCGGCCACAUUGGAACUGAGACACGGUCCAAACUCCUACGGGAGGCAGCAGUGGGGAAUAUUGCACAAUGGGCGAAAGCCUGAUGCAGCAACGCCGCGUGAGCGAAGAAGGCCUUUGGGUCGUAAAGCUUUGUCGGGUAGGAAGAUAAUGACGGUACUACCCGAGGAAGCCCCGGCUAACUACGUG